UAAACUUCUUCUUCUGUGUAUUAGCCUCCUUUAAGUAGGAGCACCUCCGAAUGGAGUAUAUACUCUUAAUGUCGUAUUAAAAUUUGUAAACACAUUAAAAAUAUGUACAGCACAUGCAUAUAAAAGAAAGAAAGUUGUUUGUUUUUUUUUUUACAUGGCAUAUAUACAGGGACUUGGGUGGUUUUUUUUAAAACUAUCUUAUCUCAUGUUUAGGUUAAAAAUCUG
rnacentral:lncRNA from 1 species